ACAGCAGCCGCGCUGGACGCCUUCUCGUCAGACGCCUCAGCGUCACGAUCGUCGAUCUCCUCCGUGCCCUGCCGCUGCUUCGGCUCCUUCCAAUUCCAAGUCCACUCCUCCGCGAAUUACUGUCCAGCAUGGUAAAAGAGAAGAAGAAGAUGAUGAUUUGGGUAUCGAGAGGAUGGACGAGGAGGAGGAUAGUGAAAGAGAAGAAGAAACAGGUGAUGAGGAGUAUAAUGGAAGAGAAGAAGACGAUGAGAUGCAUCUCAGCUACUGGAUAAAAAAUAAGGAGAUCAAGAGUAAGGAUAGAAGUAAAACUUUGUGCCUAAUUUGCUACUUGGAGCGGAGGGACCCGGUUGCUGAAAUUGCCAACAAAGAGAUUGAGAUCGAGCGUCAUCUCAGAAAAGUUCACAAGAUGCAGAAGAGGAAAGGUUAUCGGUGCCAAAGUAAAGGUUGCUGGGUGAGAGCUAGAAACAGAAGAGAUAUCUGCAGGCACAAAUUUCUAUGCCACAAUCUAUAGAGAUUCUUGAGCUGUUCUUCAAUCAGUUUGGAUAGGAGUAUCAGCCAUGACAAUACUCUCAAACCUUACCUUGAAUUCCGGUUGAUUGUAGCAGGUUAAUGAAGCACUGCAGUACUAAU